ensembl:snRNA U5 U5 spliceosomal RNA
AUACUCUGGUUUCUCUUCAGAACGAAAAAAUAUUUCGCCUUUUACUAAAGAUUUCCAUGGAGAGGAACAGUUAUGAGUCAGUAACCAAAUUUUUUGAGGACUUGCAUAUGCAGGCCU